rnacentral:rRNA from 1 species
AUUGAACGCUAGCGGCAGGCCCAACACAUGCACGUCGAACGAGUGGCGGACGGGAGAGUAAUGUCUGGGAAACUGCCUGAUGGAGGGGGAUAACUACUGGAAACGGUAGCUAAUACCGCAUACCAUCGGAUGUGCCCAGAUGGGAUUAGCUAGUAGGUGGGGUAACGGCUCACCUAGGCGACGAUCCCUAGCUGGUCUGAGAGGAUGACCAGCCACACUGGAACUGAGACACGGUCCAGACUCCUACGGGAGGCAGCAGUGGGGAAUAUUGCACAAUGGGCGCAAGCCUGAUGCAGCCAUGCCGCGUGUAUGAAGAAGGCCUUCGGUUUGUAAAGUGCUUUCAGCGGGAAGGCGUUGUCUGCAGAAGAAGGACCGGCUAACUCCGUGUCAGCCGCCGCGGUAAUAC